CCUACGGGUGGCAGCAGGGAGGAAUAUUGGUCAAUGGGCGCGAGCCUGAACCAGCCAAGUAGCGUGAAGGAUGACUGCCCUACGGGUUGUAAACUUCGGUUAUAAAGGAAUAAAGUGAGGCACGUGUGCCUUUUUGUAUGUACUUUAUGAAUAAGGAUCGGCUAACUCCGUGCCAGCAGCCGCGGUAAUACGGAGGAUCCGAGCGUUAUCCGGAGUUAUUGGGUUUACAGGGAGCGUAGAGGGGUUGUUAAGUCAGUUGUGAAAGUUUGCGGCUCAACCGUAAAAUUGCAAUUGAUACUUGCAGUCUUGCGUACAGUUGCGGUCGGCGGAAUUCGUGGUGUAGCGG
rnacentral:rRNA from 1 species